CAGUAGCCGCGGGAAAACGAAGGGGGCUAGCGUUGUUCGGAAUUACUGGGCGUAAAGCGCACGUAGGCGGAUAUUUAAGUCAGGGGUGAAAUCCCGCAGCUCAACUGCGGAACUGCCUUUGAUACUGGGUAUCUUGAGUAUGGAAGAGGUUAGUGGAAUUGCGAGUGUAGAGGUGAAAUUCGUAGAUAUUCGCAGGAACACCAGUGCGAAGGCGGCUAACUGGUCCAUAACUGACGCUGAGGUGCGAAAGCGUGGGGAGCAAACAGGAUUAGAUACCCCGGUAGUCCCUGUCUCUUAUACA
rnacentral:rRNA from 1 species